AUUGAACGCUGGCGGAAUGCUUUACACAUGCAAGUCGAACGGCAGCACGGGGCAACCUGGUGGCGAGUGGCGAACGGGUGAGUAAUACAUCGGAACGUGCCCAAUCGUGGGGGAUAACGUAGCGAAAGUUACGCUAAUACCGCAUACGAUCUACGGAUGAAAGCGGGGGAUCGCAAGACCUCGCGCGAAUGGAGCGGCCGAUGUCAGAUUAGGUAGUUGGUGGGGUAAAGGCUCACCAAGCCAACGAUCUGUAGCUGGUCUGAGAGGACGACCAGCCACACUGGAACUGAGACACGGUCCAGACUCCUACGGGAGGCAGCAGUGGGGAAUUUUGGACAAUGGGCGCAAGCCUGAUCCAGCCAUUCCGCGUGCAGGAUGAAGGCCUUCGGUUGUAACUAGCUUUUGUACGGUAACGAAACGGUACUGCCCUAAUACGGCGGCGUAAUGACGGUACCGUAAGAAUAAGACACCGGCUAACGUACGUAGCCAGCAGCCGCGGUAA
rnacentral:rRNA from 1 species